GUGUUCCUACGGGGCGCAGCAGUGAGGAAUAUUGGUCAAUGGGAGAGAUCCUGAACCAGCCACGCCGCGUGAGGGAAGACGGCCCUAUGGGUUGUAACCCUCUUUUGUCGGAGAACAAAACCCGGGACGAGUCCCGGACUGCGUGUAUCCGAAGAAAAAGCAUCGGCUAACUCCGUGCCAGCAGCCGCGGUAAUACGGAGGAUGCGAGCGUUAUCCGGAUUUAUUGGGUUUAAAGGGUGCGUAG
rnacentral:rRNA from 1 species